GAUUGUUCACCCACCAAUAGGGAACGUGAGCUGGGUUUAAACUGCCAUGAGACAAGUUAGUUUUACCCUACUGAUGACAGUGUCGCAAUAGUAAUUCAACCUAGUAGGAGAGGAACCAUUGAUUCGCACAACUGGUCAUUGCGUUUGGUUGAAAAUUCAGUGGCGUGAAGCUACCAUGCACUAGAUUAUGACUGAACACCUCUAAGUCAGAAUCCGGGCUAGAAGGGACGCAUGCGCCCGUCGCCCGCUUGUCGAUCCGCAGUAGGGGCUGUUCGGCCACCAAAGGCACGUUUCGUUGGUGAAGCCCACGCGGUGGAUGAGCCUUGCGGGCCACCUUGAAGUACAAUUCCUAUCACGAGUGGCAAGUACAAUUCCUAUCACGAGUGGCAAGUAGAAUCCUAAAUAUGUGACAGGGUAUUGUAAGUGGCAGAGUGGCCUUAUUGCCAUGAUCCACUGAGAUUCACCCUUGCGUCGCUCCGAUUCGUCCCUCCC
rnacentral:rRNA from 1 species